rnacentral:rRNA from 1 species
UACGGAGGGUGCAAGCGUUAUCCGGAUUCACUGGGUUUAAAGGGUGCGUAGGUGGGUUUGUAAGUCAGUGGUGAAAGCCCGGAGCUCAACUCCGGAACUGCCAUUGAUACUGCAGAUCUUGAGUACACUUGAGGUGGGCGGAAUACAUCAUGUAGUGGUGAAAUACUUAGAUAUGAUGUAGAACACCGAUUGCGAAGGCAGCUCACUAAAUUGUAACUGACACUGAGGCACGAAAGCGUGGGGAUCAAACAGG